UACGUAGGGUGCGAGCGUUGUCCGGAAUUAUUGGGCGUAAAGAGCUCGUAGGCGGUCUGUCGCGUCGGUCGUGAAAACUUGGGGCUUAACCCUGAGCUUGCGGUCGAUACGGGCAAACUGGAGUGUUGCAGGGGAGACUGGAAUUCCUGGUGUAGCGGUGAAAUGCGCAGAUAUCAGGAGGAACACCGGUGGCGAAGGCGGGUCUCUGGGCCGAUACUGACGCUGAGGAGCGAAAGCGUGGGGAGCGAACAGG
rnacentral:rRNA from 1 species